rnacentral:rRNA from 1 species
UACGGAGGGUGCAAGCGUUUGUCCGGAUUUAUUGGGUUUAAAGGGUGCGUAGGCGGCCCUGUAAGUCAGUGGUGAAAUACUGCAGCUUAACUGUAGCAUUGCCAUUGAUACUGUAGGGCUUGAGUACAGAUGAGGUAGGCGGAAUUGAUGGUGUAGCGGUGAAAUGCAUAGAUACCAUCAAGAACACCGAUUGCGAAGGCAGCUUACUAAGCUGUAACUGACGCUGAGGCACGAAAAGCGUGGGGGAUCGAACAGG